AUUGAACGCUGGCGGCAGGCUUAACACAUGCAAGUCGAGCGAGCGGCGGACGGGUGAGUAAUGUCUGGGAAACUGCCUGAUGGAGGGGGAUAACUACUGGAAACGGUAGCUAAUACCGCAUACCAUCAGAUGUGCCCAGAUGGGAUUAGCUAGUAGGUGGGGUAAUGGCUCACCUAGGCGACGAUCCCUAGCUGGUCUGAGAGGAUGACCAGCAGAGCUGGGAAUGAGAAACGGGCCAGACUCCUACGGGAGGGAGAAGUGGGGAAUAGUGCACAAUGGGCGCAAGCCUGAGGCAGCCAUGCCGCGUGUGUGAAGAAGGCCUUCGGGUUGUAAAGCACUUUAGGCGAGGAGGCGUUACUCGCAGAAGAAGCACCGGCUAACUCCGUGCCAGCAGCCGCGGUAAUUC
rnacentral:rRNA from 1 species